UCGAGUGGUGGAUCUACGAUUCGAAGAAGGCUAAGGAGCUGGUUACCUUUUUCUUUUUCUAGCCUCUCUCUUCUUUUUCCUCCCCUCCCCUCUCUCCUAUCUUUCAUGUGGGAUCCAAUGUGUGUGUGGGGGGAGGUGGCUGGAGUCCCCUAGACCCAUCGCUGGAUCUGCCCCUGCUUGCCGCUAAAUAUGCAGAAAAUAAACUAAAAACAAAUCAAAUACGAGAUUAAUUGCAUGAAUGGUUUGUUUUAUGGUACCCAUUAUGUUCCUACCAUAGAUAUCAAGUGAAAUUUUAUUGGCAUUGUUUCUGGUGCUUAUGUUAUGUGGUCAUGUGUUGUUUCUCAAAUAUUUUGGUAUUUAGUUGUCAUGAACUAUGUUGUGAUCCGUAAUAAUGCUUUACUACUUUUUAUAUAACCAAAUCUUGGAUCACAGCCAAGCUAUGUUCUCUGUUCUAUUUUUUCACCUAUGUUUCCAAAAUCCAAUAAAUGGAAAAUUUCUCAAUCUUGUUCUCUGUUCUCUCUACACCCCCCAACAACGGCAAACUUGUCUUUAACCGGUACCAAAUUAGGAGGGCCGGUCAAGCUGCAGGGAAGAAAAGGAAUUUAUCCCUCCCAAAAUUGGUGAAUGAAGAAAUAAAAUGGAAUGGAGAAAAAAAUAAAUCAGCAUGACCAGCAAAAAUCCAUGCAAUUCAUGUAAAGACCAACAACAUCCUAGAGCACCAUGCCAAUUGAAUGUACACGAAAAUCACCUUGAAAGAGUUUGUGGGCGAAGUGAAUACAACCACUAGUUAAUUAUAUCCUCUAUUUUUUUAAGUGGGAUAAGACAUGGCAUCACACAUCCACUCGAUGUACAC
rnacentral:lncRNA from 1 species